rnacentral:tRNA from 1 species
CGCGGGGUGGAGCAGUAGUCAGCUCGCUUGGCUCAUAACCAAGAGGUCGUAGGUGCGAAUCCUACCCCCGCUACCA